rnacentral:rRNA from 1 species
UACGUAGGGGGCAAGCGUUGUCCGGAUUUAUUGGGCGUAAAGCGCGCGUAGGUGGCCUCAUAAGUCCGCUGUGAAAGUCAAAGGCUCAACCUUUGAAAGCCGGUGGAUACUGUGAGGCUAGAGUACGGAAGAGGCGAGUGGAAUUCCUGGUGUAGCGGUGGAAUGCGCAGAUAUCAGGAGGAACACCAAUAGCGAAGGCAGCUCGCUGGGACGUUACUGACACUGAGGCGCGAAAGCGUGGGGAGCGAACAGG